UGGGGAAUUUUCCGCAAUGGGCGCAAGCCUGACGGAGCAAUACCGCGUGAGGGAGGAAGGCUUUUGGGUUGUAAACCCCUUUCAGCAGGGAAGAAGCGAGAGUGACGGUACCUGCAGAAGAAGCACCGGCUAACUACGUGCCAGCAGCCGCGGUAAUACGUAGGGUGCAAGCGUUGUCCGGAAUUAUUGGGCGUAAAGAGCUCGUAGGCGGUCUGUCGCGUCUGCUGUGAAAGUUCGGGGCUCAACCCCGGAACUGCAGUGGGUACGGGCAGACUAGAGUGCGGUAGAGGAGACUGGAAUUCCUGGUGUAGCGGUGGAAUGCGCAGAUAUCAGGAGGAACACCAGUGGCGAAGGCGGGUCUCUGGGCCGCAACUGACGCUGAGGAGCGAAAGCGUGGGGAGCGAACAGGAUUAGAUACCCCUGUAGUCC
rnacentral:rRNA from 1 species